AUUGAACGCUGGCGGCAGGCUUAACACAUGCAAGUCGAGCGGGGGAAGGUAGCUUGCUACCGGACCUAGCGGCGGACGGGUGAGUAAUGCUUAGGAAUCUGCCUAUUAGUGGGGGACAACAUCUCGAAAGGGAUGCUAAUACCGCAUACGUCCUACGGGAGAAAGCAGGGGAUCUUCGGACCUUGCGCUAAUAGAUGAGCCUAAGUCGGAUUAGCUAGUUGGUGGGGUAAAGGCCUACCAAGGCGACGAUCUGUAGCGGGUCUGAGAGGAUGAUCCGCCACACUGGGACUGAGACACGGCCCAGACUCCUACGGGAGGCAGCAGUGGGGAAUAUUGGACAAUGGGGGGAACCCUGAUCCAGCCAUGCCGCGUGUGUGAAGAAGGCCUUAUGGUUGUAAAGCACUUUAAGCGAGGAGGAGGCUACUCUAGUUAAUACCUAGGGAUAGUGGACGUUACUCGCAGAAUAAGCACCGGCUAACUCUGUGCCAGCAGCCGCGGUAAUACAGAGGGUGCGAGCGUUAAUCGGAUUUACUGGGCGUAAAGCGUGCGUAGGCGGCUUAUUAAGUCGGAUGUGAAAUCCCCGAGCUUAACUUGGGAAUUGCAUUCGAUACUGGUGAGCUAGAGUAUGGGAGAGGAUGGUAGAAUUCCAGGUGUAGCGGUGAAAUGCGUAGAGAUCUGGAGGAAUACCGAUGGCGAAGGCAGCCAUCUGGCCUAAUACUGACGCUGAGGUACGAAAGCAUGGGGAGCAAACAGGAUUAGAUACCCUGGUGGUCCAUGCCGUAAACGAUGUCUACUAGCCGUUGGGGCCUUUGAGGCUUUAGUGGCGCAGCUAACGCGAUAAGUAGACCGCCUGGGGAGUACGGUCGCAAGACUAAAACUCAAAUGAAUUGACGGGGGCCCGCACAAGCGGUGGAGCAUGUGGUUUAAUUCGAUGCAACGCGAAGAACCUUACCUGGCCUUGACAUACUAGAAACUUUCCAGAGAUGGAUUGGUGCCUUCGGGAAUCUAGAUACAGGUGCUGCAUGGCUGUCGUCAGCUCGUGUCGUGAGAUGUUGGGUUAAGUCCCGCAACGAGCGCAACCCUUUUCCUUACUUGCCAGCAUUUCGGAUGGGAACUUUAAGGAUACUGCCAGUGACAAACUGGAGGAAGGCGGGGACGACGUCAAGUCAUCAUGGCCCUUACGGCCAGGGCUACACACGUGCUACAAUGGUCGGUACAAAGGGUUGCUACACAGCGAUGUGAUGCUAAUCUCAAAAAGCCGAUCGUAGUCCGGAUUGGAGUCUGCAACUCGACUCCAUGAGGUCGGAAUCGCUAGUAAUCGCGGAUCAGAAUGCCGCGGUGAAUACGUUCCCGGGCCU
rnacentral:rRNA from 1 species